AGUGAACGCUGGCGAUAGGCCUAACACAUGCAAGUCGAACGGCAGCACAGUAAGAGCUUGCUCUUACGGGUGGCGAGUGGCGGACGGGUGAGGAAUACAUCGGAAUCUACUUUUUCGUGGGGGAUAACGUAGGGAAACUUACGCUAAUACCGCAUACGACCUACGGGUGAAAGCAGGGGAUCUUCGGACCUUGCGCGAUUGAAUGAGCCGAUGUCGGAUUAGCUAGUUGGCGGGGUAAAGGCCCACCAAGGCGACGAUCCGUAGCUGGUCUGAGAGGAUGAUCAGCCACACUGGAACGGAGACACGGUCCAGACUCCUACGAGAGGCAGCAGUGGGGAAUAUUGGACAAUGGGCGCAAGCCUGAUCCAGCCAUACCGCGUGGGUGAAGAAGGCCUUCGGGUUGUAAAGCCCUUUUGUUGGGAAAGAAAAGCAGCAGGUUAAUACCCCGCUGUUCUGACGGUACCCAAAGAAUAAGCACCGGCUAACUUCGUG
rnacentral:rRNA from 1 species